UACGAAGGGGGCUAGCGUUGUUCGGAUUUACUGGGCGUAAAGCGCACGUAGGCGGAUCGUUAAGUCGGGGGUGAAAUCCUGGAGCUCAACUCCAGAACUGCCUUCGAUACUGGCGAUCUUGAGUCCGGAAGAGGUGAGUGGAACUCCUAGUGUAGAGGUGGAAUUCGUAGAUAUUAGGAAGAACACCAGUGGCGAAGGCGGCUCACUGGUCCGGUACUGACGCUCAUGCACGAAAGCGUGGGGAGCAAACAGG
rnacentral:rRNA from 1 species